UACGUAGGGGGCGAGCGUUGUCCGGAUUUAUUGGGCGUAAAGAGCGUGUAGGCGGCCAUGCAGGUCCGUUGUGAAAACUCGAGGCUCAACCUCGAGACGCCGAUGGAAACCGCAUGGCUAGAGUCCGGAAGAGGAGAAGUGGAAUUCCUGGUGUAGCGGUGAAAUGACGCAGAUAUCAGGAAGAACACCCGUGGCUAAGGCGGCUCUCUAGUACGGUACUGACGCUGAGACGCGAAAGCGUGGGGAGCGAACAGG
rnacentral:rRNA from 1 species